rnacentral:tRNA from 1 species
GAGAGUAUAGCUCAGUGGUAGAAUGCGUGCUUAUCAUGCACAAAGUCCUGGGUUCAAUCCCCAGUACCUCCA